GAUGAACGCUGGCGGCGUGCUUAACACAUGCAAGUCGAACGGUGAAAGAGAGCUUGCUCUCUGGAUCAGUGGCGAACGGGUGAGUAACACGUGAGCAAUCUGCCCCUGACUCUGGGAUAAGCGCUGGAAACGGCGUCUAAUACCGGAUACGAGCUGCGAAGGCAUCUUCAGCAGCUGGAAAGAACUUCGGUCAGGGAUGAGCUCGCGGCCUAUCAGCUAGUUGGUGAGGUAACGGCUCACCAAGGCGUCGACGGGUAGCCGGCCUGAGGGGGUGACCGGCCACACUGGGACUGAGACACGGCCCAGACUCCUACGGGAGGCAGCAGUGGGGAAUAUUGCACAAUGGGCGAAAGCCUGAUGCAGCAACGCCGCGUGAGGGACGACGGCCUUCGGGUUGUAAACCUCUUUUAGCAGGGAAGAAGCGAAAGUGACGGUACCUGCAGAAAAAGCACCGGCUAACUACGUG
rnacentral:rRNA from 1 species